CAGCAGCCGCGGGAAUACGGAGGGCGCGAGCGUUACCCGGAUUUACUGGGCGUAAAGGGCGUGUAGGCGGCCUGGGGCGUCCCAUGUGAAAGGCCACGGCUCAACCGUGGAGGAGCGUGGGAUACGCUCAGGCUAGAGGGUGGGAGAGGGUGGCGGAAUUCCCGGAGUAGCGGUGAAAUGCGCAGAUACCGGGAGGAACGCCGAUGGCGAAGGCAGCCACCUGGUCCACUUCUGACGCUGAGGCGCGAAAGCGUGGGGAGCAAACCGGAUUAGAUACCCCAGUAGUCCCUGUCUCUUAUAA
rnacentral:rRNA from 1 species